rnacentral:rRNA from 1 species
GACAGAGGGUGCAAACGUUGUUCGGAAUUACUGGGCGUAAAGGGCGCGUAGGCGGCCUGUUAAGUCGAACGUGAAAUCCCCGGGCUCAACCCGGGAACUGCGUCCGAUACUGGCAGGCUUGAAUCCGGGAGAGGGAUGUGGAAUUCCAGGUGUAGCGGUGAAAUGCGUAGAUAUCUGGAGGAACACCGGUGGCGAAGGCGGCAUCCUGGACCGGUAUUGACGCUGAGGCGCGAAAGCCAGGGGAGCAAAACGGGG